GAACACCUCUUGGAAACGGAUAUCUCAGCUCUCGUAUCGAUGAAGAAUGUAGCAAAAUGCGAUACUUGGUGUGAAUUGCAGAAUCCCGUGAACCAUGGAGUCUUUGAACGCAAGUUACCCCCAAAGCCAUUAGGCUGAGGUCUACCUGGGUGUCACGU
rnacentral:rRNA from 1 species